UACGUAGGGGGGCAAGCGUUGUCCGGAUUUAUUGGGCGUAAAGAGCGUGUAGGCGGCCAGACAGGUCCGCUGUGAAAUCCCGAGGCUCAACCUCGGGUCUGCAGUCGAUACGAGCAAACUAGAGUGUUGCAGGGGAGACUGGAAUUCCUGGUGUAGCGGUGAAAUGCGCAGAUAGUCAGGAGGAACGACCGGUGGCGAAGGCGGAUCUCUGGGCCGUAACUGACGCUGGAGGAGCGAAAGCCAUGGGGAGCGAACAGG
rnacentral:rRNA from 1 species